CAGGAAAUUUGAGAGGAUCUGUCCUUAGUACGAGAGGACCGGGAUGGACACACCGCUGGUGUACCAGUUGUUCCGCCAGGAGCAUCGCUGGGUAGCUAUGUGUGGCAGGGAUAAACGCUGAAAGCAUCUAAGCGUGAAGCCCCCCUCAAGAUGAGAUUUCCCAUUUCUUCGGAAAGUAAGAUCCCUGAAAGAUGAUCAGGUAGAUAGGUUUGGAGUGGAAGUGUAGCGAUACAUGGAGCGGACAAAUACUAAUCGAUCGAGGACUUAACCAAAA
rnacentral:rRNA from 1 species